rnacentral:rRNA from 1 species
GACGAACGCUGGCGGCGUGCUUAACACAUGCAAGUCGAACGGAAAGGCCCUGCUUUUGUGGGGUGCUCGAGUGGCGAACGGGUGAGUAACACGUGAGUAACCUGCCCUUGACUUUGGGAUAACUUCAGGAAACUGGGGCUAAUACCGGAUAGGAGCUCCUGCUGCAUGGUGGGGGUUGGAAAGUUUCGGCGGUUGGGGAUGGACUCGCGGCUUAUCAGCUUGUUGGUGGGGUAGUGGCUUACCAAGGCUUUGACGGGUAGCCGGCCUGAGAGGGUUACCGGCCACAUUGGGACUGAGAUACGGCCGAGACUCCUACGGGAGGCAGCAGUGGGGAAUAUUGAACAAUGGGCGGAAGCCUGAUGCAGCAACGCCGCGUGCGGGAUGACGGCCUUCGGGUUGUAAACCGCUUUCGCCUGUGACGAAGCGUGAGUGACGGUAAUGGGUAAAGAAGCACCGGCUAACUAAGUG